UCAGAAAAAGGAAAUUCUUCCUAUCUUUAAUCUCCAAAAUUAAUAUUUUUUAAACUAUUUUCUG
rnacentral:tRNA from 1 species